CAAACAGGGCUUUUUAGCCCAGUAAUUUUACAAAUGCAAAACCAUGAAAUAUAAACGACAUCCUACAUAUUUUAAAAGAAAUGGCCUAUAUUCUAACAAAAAAUCACAAAAUAUUACAGUAAAUCGUAUUUUAAUGUCUAGAAAACACAACUUAUUAACCAUGCAUAAUUGUCAAAAUAGCGAAAUUCAGAACGUUCGCUGUCGUAUUUUCUUAAAAUAACAUAUGAAGAGCCACAAGCGACACAAAGUCCUUUUCAGGUAAUGAUACUAAAUAUAUACUAAAGCUGUGGCCGAAAUAUGGUGGUGUCGGGUUUGGCUCUUCAUAUCUAAAAAUAAUGUUUUCCGACAUUUGCUGUUGCUAUGGAAAUUCGGUCUUAGCUGAUAAUUCCCAUGAUAUUUGGCAUGAAAACAAUAUGUUUGCUUUAAAAAAUCUUAUCUAAACUAAUUACUCAUGUAGACCUUUAAUAAAAUUAUAUAAACUUAGACAGCAACUGAUUUAUAACAUAUUUUACGUGUUUUUAUUUCUAAUCAUUAUCCGAACUUGUCCUGCCCGAAUACGUGGUUGAUCAGAAAAAAAUGUUAUCCGUUUGUGGAAAACAUUUGUUUAUGUCUUGCUAAUAAAUAAAUACUAAAGACAAUAUAGCACAUUACAUUUAUGUUUAACCCGCUUCUCGUAAGAAACAGAAAAAUGCGUACGAACGCCAACUUUUGGUUCGAGAAUUGACCACUACUGUAUUCAAGGGAAUUAACUCGACAUUGAAUCUGAAACUGAAAGUAGACUGCUAUUGUUUUUCUCUCUGAUCGUUUUCCAACGCUUUUCAGCGAUGUAGGUGCAAAAACUGGAAACGAAAGAUGUAAAAGACAAGGUACUCUAUAGCCUAGUGGAUGUAAUCGGUGGCUGUCACCCGAUAGGCCGGAGUUCAAAACCAGGAUGCCUCAAAAGAUAUGUGUGCUGUGCAGAAAAAAGCUAAAACUGCAUCAAAGAAGACCUGUCAACAAAAAUAUAGCUAAAUAUUUACGGAAAUUCUAUUUGAUGCAAACAACCAAUUUGGAUUUUAUUUGUGGAGGUUGCAGCAAAAAAGUGUAUCCAGUUUCUAGUGCACAGCCAAAGUCAUCUGUUUCAGACACAUCAAGAAAAUCUACUGAAAAUCAGAUAGCAACAGCAACAACAUCUACAGCCUGUAAAAGUCCACCGUCCAUUCAGCUUCCCAUUAAAUCUACAUCCAAAAGCCAUUCCUACUGUUUUAUUUGUAAAAAGCCAGGUCCCAAAAUCAUAGUUGUACCAGCAAAUAUAAGAUAUUCAGUAUUCAUUGAACAUGGAAUUAUUAUCACAGCUGAAAGCAGAUGUUGUACUUCU